AAGUCGUAACAAGGUUUCCGUAGGUGAACCUGCGGAAGGAUCAUUAACACGAUUCCCUAUACAAACAACCGUGAACACGUUUUCCUACCUCAUGCUUCAUAGCCGUCCAGGCGUGGUGAAGGGUGGAGGUCGGCUGCUCUAGGGCAGUCGGCCUUGGCCUGUCUGGACUACCGAGACUUCGAUCUCGAAGGUUAUGAGGAGGUUGAGGCAUUCUCGCCCUAAUCAUCUCCAUCCUUUGAUGGUUAGGGCGUUCCUAUUCACUAUUCACCCCUUUCAACCAAUCGUACUAAUUUGUGCUUAUUGGCCGCAAGGCUGGUAGGACACCACGAUAUACGUAACUAAGAACAACUCUUAACAAUGGAUAUCUUGGCUCUGAUAACGAUGAAGAACGCAGC
rnacentral:misc_RNA from 1 species